UAUGCACAAAUUUGUACUAUCAAAGGAAGAUAGAGCAAAGAUAGAGGAAGACAAAACACCAGAAGAAGUUGCAGAAGCUAUAAAAGAGUUGCAAAGAAAAUACGAGGAUAAUUAUGCCCUCUAUCUUGGUAGAUCAAUGCUGAGGUAUAAGUAUAGGGAUUUUAUAUUGGCACCUUACAACUUUAGUGACCAUUGGAUUGUUUUUUAUAUUUAUCCCUUCGAAGGGAAGGUGCUUGUCCUAGACUCUUUACAUGUUCCUCCCGAGAAGUAUCAACCAUUCUUGGUUCAAUUAGAAAGGGCAUGGCGGUUUUAUAAGAAACAAAAGGGACCGGUCGACGCCGCAUGCUCAGAUCU